ensembl:lncRNA
UUUAGAGUGGAUUCUACAGAGGCAUUGUGGGUCCAUUACCAGAUCCCUGACCUGACAAGCCCCUUGUGGAAAGUGCCUUUGGGCUGGUGCAGGAGGGCAGUGUUCUGUCAUGUCAGCAGCCGGUUUUGACAACCCGGUACAUCACACUACACCGUGAUGCACCACCAACACCGCACUUGCCUCUGGAGGGGUAUGACAUCAAGGAAACCCUGCUCGCUCAGACAGCCUGUGAUAUUUUCUCAAACCGCUGCGCUGAACAAGUUUCCAAAGAACAUGCUGUGUGACACAAUAAAUAUCCUUUAACCUGUUAACCUGUGGCUUCUGGAAGAAACUCGGGUGAGUCAGUCACUGCAAACACAUUUGUAUCAUCAAGUGUUUGUCAAAUGAAAAUGAUGUUUUUCUACACUUAGGAUAAUUUUCUAUGUUGCAGUGCAGUAAAGUGCAUGUUUCUUCUGUGUUCAAUCAUACAUGUUCUAAUUGUUAUAAACAGAAAAAAUCUUUUCUUACUUAACUGCUUGAUUCUUAACUUGUUUAACUGAAACAUGAUGAAAUGUCAUAGUAUUAUUUUUUUUAAAUGUCCUUGGCAGUGCAUGUGUCCGCAUUGUAACUUACUAAUAAAAAGUCCUGUGUGUACUUUGGUGUGUGUUUUAUGUUAUUUUAUUGCAAAUAAAUAAUAGUCAUUUGAUUUUACAGUUACACACAAUCUUAUAUCUCUGGCAUGGCAUGGCAUGCCAAGGCAAUAUCGGGUACAUGCAAUUUGAAACCUGACAUUCCAGAGCAAAGCAUGAAGCACACAGCACGUGGUCAACGUGACUCAUAUGGAGACUGACAACAUUACAAGGAAUAAAGGAAAAUUGAGGACUUAGCCACAGAAAAGACUUUUUCCUUUUUUGUUACAAUAACUCGAAAAGGUCAACUAUGAUUUUUAAAUUAAUAUCAUAGGUGUGAGUUUAGAGUUCAGAUUUUUUCUGCACAUUCUUUCUUUUUGUAUUUAAUUAUGAUGGUAAAUACAUUUUGCAACAUAUCUGCCUGCACUUGCACUUGCUCUUAAAGUAGGAACAGUUCACCUUUCCAGCUGUAUUUUUAAUACUGAUGAGUUUACUUUAAUUGUUAGCCUAUUGGUCAAAAUGUAUUGUUCUUCUGAUUCAUGUGUAAUGCUUUUCUCAAAUAAUAC